rnacentral:rRNA from 1 species
GACGAAGGAUGCAAGCGUUAUCCGGAUUCAUUGGGUUUAAAGGGAGCGUAGGUGGACUUGUAAGUCAGUGGUGAAAUCUUUUGGGCUUAACCCAGAAACUGCCAUUGAUACUGCAGGUCUAGAGUACAGUUGCCGUUGGCGGAAUAUGACAUGUAGCGGUGAAAUACUUAGAUAUGUCAUAGAACACCGAUUGCGAAGGCAGCUAACGAAGCUGUAACUGACACUGAGGCUCGAA